rnacentral:rRNA from 1 species
UACGUAGGGUGCGAGCGUUGCCCGGAUUUAUUGGGCGUAAAGGGCGCGUAGGCGGCCACGCACGUCCGUUGUGAAAUCGCCCGGCUCAACUGGGCGGGGUCAGCGGAUACGGUGUGGCUCGAGCAAGCUAGGGGGCAAUGGAAUUCCCGGUGUAGUGGUGGAAUGCGUAGAUAUCGGGAGGAACACCAGUGGCGAAGGCAGCUCGCUGGGACGUUACUGACACUGAGGCGCGAAAGCGUGGGGAGCGAACAGG